rnacentral:rRNA from 1 species
GACAGAGGAGGCAAGCGUUGCUCGGAUUUACUGGGAUUAAAGGGCGCGUAGGCGGCUUUAUAAGUCCGAGGUGGAAUUCCACAGCUUAACUGUGGAACUGCCUUGGAACCUAUAAGGCUUGAGUCAGGUAGAGGAGGGCGGAAUUCCCGGUGUAGCGGUGAAAUGCGUAGAUAUCGGGAGGAAGGCCGGUGGCGAAAGCGGCCCUCUGGGCCUGUACUGACGCUGAGGCGCGAAAGCGUGGGGAGCAAACAGG